rnacentral:rRNA from 1 species
GAUGAACGCUGGCGGCGUGCCUAAUACAUGCAAGUCGAGCGAACUGAUUAGAAGCUUGCUUCUAUGACGUUAGCGGCGGACGGGUGAGUAACACGUGGGCAACCUGCCUGUAAGACUGGGAUAACUUCGGGAAACCGAAGCUAAUACCGGAUAGGAUCUUCUCCUUCAUGGGAGAUGAUUGAAAGAUGGUUUCGGCUAUCACUUACAGAUGGGCCCGCGGUGCAUUAGCUAGUUGGUGAGGUAACGGCUCACCAAGGCAACGAUGCAUAGCCGACCUGGGAGGGUGAUCGGCCCACCUGGGACUGAGACACGGCCCAGACUCCUACGGGAGGCAGCAGUAGGGAAUCUUCCGCAAUGGACGAAAGUCUGACGGAGCAACGCCGCGUGAGUGAUGAAGGCUUUCGGGUCGUAAAACUCUGUUGUUAGGGAAGAAUAAGUACAAGAGUAACUGCUUGUACCUUGACGGUACCUAACCAGAAAGCCACGGCUAACUACGUGCCAGCCGCCGCCGUAACAC